rnacentral:rRNA from 1 species
UACGAAGGGGGCUAGCGUUGUUCGGAAUUACUGGGCGUAAAGCGCACGUAGGCGGAUUGACAAGUCAGGGGUGAAAUCCCGGGGCUCAACCUCGGAACUGCCUUUGAUACUGUCAGUCUAGAGUCCGGAAGAGGUGGGUGGAAUUCCUGGUGUAGCGGUGGAAUGCGCAGAUAUCAGGAGGAACACCAAUAGCGAAGGCAGCUCGCUGGGACGGUACUGACGCUAAGGCGCGAAAGCGUGGGGAGCGAACAGG